GACCCCAGCCAGGGCGGCGAGGCCGGCGGGCACCGGCGCGAACCUUCCCGUCCCGCCCGGGUCUUACCUGGCUCCGCGGAGGCCGCGCGGACCCCGAGCAGCAGGACCAGGGGCGCGAGCACGUCCAGGAGGCGCCGCCGCCGCGGCCAUGGCCAGGGGCACCUGCGCGGGACAGGCACGGGGCCAGCAUCCUGAGCCCCACCUGCAGGCCCUGGGCGCUUUCCUCCUGGCAGCUGUGCCCCCACCCGACCGGACCGCUCCCUGCAACCAGAGAGCCCUCACACCAGCAACACCCCCCAGCCUGCUCCCUCCUCGUGUGCGCGAAACUCAUGGCACUGGCUUGACGGCUUUCUCUGAAACCCUCUGAUUCCGCCUGGCCCAUCCACACUGUCCCUUCCCGGCCAGGGCUCAUCUCCUAUGCCUGGACCAAACAGCGUAGUCUCCAGUCUCCCUGAUCUCCCCACACGUGGCCCCACCCAUCCUCUGAAGCAGCCCCAGGAGGCAGCAGUGACUUCACACUUCUAGUGCCCGGCCCUCCCGGCCCUCCUCUCUGGGCUUGCUUGCCAGGGUCCUCCCAACCUGACUGCUGCCUCCCACCUCCUCUCCGCCCCUGGAGCUCUCCAGCCGCAGCCGCGGGGCCUGCUUGGGAUUCUCCUCUGCUGGCAUCAUCCCUGCCUGCCUCAGCCUUCCCAGGCCCAAUCCUGCCCGAUCUCACCUCUUCCCGCCCAGCCACCUGGUCGGGUCCCGACCAGCAUCUGCCUUCAAACCUGGAGUCCUUCCCUGAGUGCUUGCGGUGCACUGUGAGGAAGGAAAUCAAUGUAAAGGAUUAUGACCCACAUUUUUUAAAAAUAAAAAGAUUAAGGAGAACAGCAUAGAGUAGAAGUGGUCAUCGCACACUUCUGCAAAACUUUUGUUUCUCAGGUGGAUGGAGGAGUGAGUCUGUGUGUGUCUAUCAGGGUUUGGUGGUGUCUCUGCAGUGCAG
rnacentral:lncRNA from 10 species